UUGUAAAAACCCACCAGAACCCAACCGGAGUAUGUCUUCUGGUUGAUUCAAAACCCUAAAAACUCUCUUGAUCUGAUCUCAACAGUUUCGUCAUCGUCCUCCCCUUGUCUGCUACUGCGAAAGAAGAAAAAUGGCGAAGUCGCAACAAGAAGCAUCGACCCUAGAAGCGGGUCCUCUACUGCUAGUCGUUCUAAUUGUCGCUCACGUCUUCGCUUUGGGCUACUUGAUUUACCGUUUAGGCACUCAGAAACAGCCCCAGAGAAGAAAGGAACACUAGUGGCAGCUCGAUUUUUUACGGCAACGUAGAAGCAGGUAAAAAAAGAAGCCCUUGUUCGUUGGUUUCUUAGUCGAAAACUUGGGUAACUGAAAUUUUAAAAAGUUGAUUGUUGUUGGGAAUUCGGCCAAACAAACAAUCAUGCAAUGCGUAGAAUAAUCAAGAACAGAAAACAAGAACGCAAGCUACACAGAUUUUUACGAGGUUCCCCAUCACGGCUCACUCUAAUUUUCACUAUGUAUCAAAUGAAGAAGUACAAGUUACAUUGGCUGUUGCGUAGCUAGUUACCGUCAGCAGCGAAGUGUGACCCAAAUCGAUUCAGGCUUCACAAGGCGAACAAUCUCAUUAUUUAUGCGUUUCGGGUCCGUGUUACAUGUGCUUAAGUAGUUACUUGUGUUUCUGAAAGUAGUUGUGGACUGUAUUUUAGAUCUUUGGAGGCUUUAUGCUUCUUAGUUUGAUGUUUUUCUUUUUGGGUUCUGGAUAUAAGGUUUUUUGAAUGGUUUGCAUUCCCGAGUUUACCUACCAUUUUUCUUGAUGAUGUUUGUUUAUAUUUCUCCUUCUACUUUGGAUUGCUAUGUAGAAACAUAAUGAAGUUAUUUGUGGGAGUGAGACACUAGCUUCCUCUGCUAGGUUCGCAUUUCAAAUUAACUCUUAUGUAGUUUCCUGUGAAUUGGCUGAAUCAUAUUUCUUUCGUAUUGCUAGGCACUCGCUUUUUCUUUCAUUGAGAGGGAAUCAAAUUAACUCCACCAUGUGGUUCUCUCUCUCUCUCUCACCAAAAAACCAUCCAAUGGGCCAAUGGGGUCAACGGUUAACUUGGUGAAAUAUGAGUAAUCUUGGGCCAUGAAUAUGUUCUCCUGUUUCUAGUACAAUAUGAAGAACAAUCGAGCAGUUGUGAUUUUGGGAUGUGUGGACUAGUGCAACAUAUUGUUCUUACUAGUGGCUGAGAUUGUUCACACUUCACAUUUUAGACCAUUCAUGUCCAACCUCUCUGGCAUGUCAUUUGGUUCCCAGUAUUUCUAGAAAUUCUGUCAAAUAGGGCAUACUCAUUGCAUUAAGAAAUUGCCUUUUCAAGGGAUUAGGUAGAGAGUGUAAGUAUUGUAUGUCUAAUUGCAGGGGUUGAUUUUGUGCUUUUUUGUUUUAAAUUGGUAAUCCUUGUCCUUCCCACCUUCACAUUUUAGUAACGCAGCCCAAUCUUUUCUCAGAGUGCAAGUGGUUUACUUAGCAUCUAUUUACCUUUGUGGUUGUAUUUGGCACUCUGACCUAAGGUGGAUAGAUGCUGAUGUAGGCUUCUGUGUUUGUGGUAUACAUAUUACAUAUCCAUAGCUAAUUACAUCGGUUUCUCCUCAAGAAAGAAGGUGCUGGUGGUUAGUAAAGUCCUACUGAGAUACUAUUUAGUGGUGGAGUGACCUUUAACUUUGGACAUUUAAAUCCACUUGAACAGUCAAGAAUUCAUAUAGCCAACCCCAAUUAAGAGGCAAAUAAGGCUUAGUAUAGCCAACCCCAAUUAAGAGGCAAAUAAGGCUUAGUUUAGAUUGGUAUGGUUUGUUAAUAGAACCAGCCUACUCCUUUGUGUGCUGAGUAUAUAACGCUGAUUUUUAUAAUUAGAAGAUCAAUUUUUAUGGCUUCUUGUAGAGCCCUUUGCCAUCUCAUUAUCCUCUUGGCAAUCAAGUCCGGCACUAUGUCUCUCUUGGAUUCUAGUUUUAGGUACUUUAAUACCUGUAUAGUUUGGAUCUAUGAAGAUCAUAUUGGUUAUUGGUAUUAUGCGGGAUAACCUAGAACCAGUAGGAUGCUUACUGACAUACGUUGAUAAUAUGUUAAGUUUUGCUAAAAAUUAGAAACAUAAGGUCCAAAAUUAAUCGAAGGCAUAGUCAGCUAAGGGAUUCAUGUUUAAUGGCAUAUGGAAAGUCCAAACCCGAGUUUACUGCCAUCAUUAAAGAAAAUACAGACCAAAGCUUAAUUGCAAAAGCAUGCUGAGCAGAGAAACAAGUCCCAUCAAGCUAACUUGAUGAUCUCUGUGUAAGUUUAAGUACUGUAACAGUUGGGGUGCCAUACGUAACUUGGUUCUGCAAAAAUUAAGACAGAAAUUUGGUAUACCUUUAUUAUACUAGUAUGCUUGCAGAUGUACCAUGCAAAGUACCCUGCCCAAUCAACAUGUUUUUUUUGGAGUAUUCCUGCUUCAUGGGUUUUGAUCCAUUUGUCUUUCUGCAAUACCUAUCUCUGUUGCGAUCCUUUGUCUAACCUUGACGCAACCUUGAAUGUCAAAUUUAUUAACAGUUAUUUAUUAGGGUAGUUUUUGAAAUUCCAAGAUGUGCAUGAAUACCAAUAAAAGAGUGAUCCUGUCGUCAUAUCUUCAUCUCUUAUGCUUUAGGCUUUUAGCUCUUAUCCAAACAUGACAGUGAGAAAAUACAUUCGUUUCUUCUCUUCUUUUUUACCCAGACAUGACACCAUAAUCAUUUUAUUUAUUUCAUCACCUAAUUCACCAACGAGUUGGUAAUUACAUGCUUGUCUCCUCUAAUAUAAUGAAUGAUUACUAUUUUCCUAUUUAGCAGUUUGCUUGAUUAUACAUCUUUAAGGUAUUUUCCUUGAAUAUACUUUCAUUCCUUCUUGUAUUAUAAAAUCUCUCCACAUCUUCUGCUUAAUUGUAGAAGCUAACUGAUAACUAUGAUUUUCUUUCACAGGAAAUCUUCAAUUCAUUUGUAGAUUGGUCCAACGUAGAUAUAAGGUUCUUAUACAAGGUGCUUUAUGAAGAAAUCACAGCUACCUUCUUUUGCUUGUAAAAUUCCUUGUGCUUAUCUGUUUCAGGUAGAUGGUUGAUAUGGAUGUCGAUGUUUGAUCUCUCUGUUAUUCAAGACAGCAUACAAAUUUUGUUCACUAUAUAUUUAGUUAGUUAGUGGUAGCUGUUGCAAUUAGCUUGUUUCGCUCUUUGUAGGAUCAGGAUUUAGUAGUUUUUUUUUAAAAAAAAAAUUGAAAGAAUAUAUAUGGCAUAUGUGCUACGGAUGUUGCAUAUGUGCCUUUCUUAA